rnacentral:rRNA from 1 species
CUACGGGGUGCUGCAGUAAGGAAUAUUGCGCAAUGGAGGCAACUCAGACGCAGCCAUGCCGCGUGCAGGAAGAAGGCCUUAUGGGUCGUAAACUGCUUUUAUUUAGGAAUAAACCCCCGAACGUGUUCGGGGCUGAAGGUACUAAACGAAUAAGCACCGGCUAACUCCGUGCCAGCAGCCGCGGUAAUACGGAGGGUGCAAGCGUUGUCCGGAUUUAUUGGGUUUAAAGGGUGCGCAGGCGGGCUAUUAAGUCAGUGGUGAAAUCCCGGGGCUCAACUCCGGAACUGCCAUUGAUACUGAUAGUCUUGAGUUUGGUUGAAGUGGGCGGAAUGUAGCAUGUAGCGGUGAAAUGCAUAGAUAUGCUACAGAACACCAAUCGCGAAGGCAGCUCACUAAGCCAAAACUGACGCUCAUGCACGAAAGCGUGGGGAUCAAACAGGAUUAGAUACCCCCGUAGUC